UAGGUGGUGUCAGGUAGAGUCAGAUGGAGUUGGGUAGAGUUAGAUGGAGUCGGGGAGAGUUAGAUGGAGUCAGGUAGUGUUGGAUGGAGUCAGGUAGAGUCAGUUGGAGCCAGGUGGAGUCAGGUAGAGUCAGAUGGAGUCGGGUAGAGUCAGUUGGAGCCAGGUGGAAUCAGGUAGAGUCAGAUGGAGUCAGGUAGAGUCAGUUGGAGCCAGGUGGUGUCAGGUAGAGUCAGAUGGAGUUGGGUAGAGUUAGAUGAAGUCGGGUAGAGUUAGAUCGAGUCAGGUAGCGUUAGAUGGAGUCAGGUGUGUUAGAUGGAGUCGGGUAGAGUUAGAUGGAGUCAGCUAGAGUCAGAUGGAGUCGGGUAGAGUCAGUUGGAGCCAGGUGUGUUAGAUGGAGUCGGGUAGAGUUAGAUGGAGUCAGCUAGAGUCAGAUGGAGUCAGGUAGAGUCAGAUGGAGUCAGGUGUGUUAGAUGGAGUCGGGUAGAGUUAGAUGGAGUCAGCUAGAGUCAGAUGGAGUCGGGUAGAGUCAGUUGGAGCCAGGUGUGUUAGAUGGAGUCGGGUAGAGUUAGAUGGAGUCAGCUAGAGUCAGAUGGAGUCGGGUAGAGUCAGUUGGAGCCAGGUGUGUUAGAUGGAGUCGGGUAGAGUUAGAUGGAGUCAGCUAGAGUCAGAUGGAGUCAGGUAGAGUCAGAUGGAGUCAGGUGUGUUAGAUGGAGUCGGGUAGAGUUAGAUGGAGUCAGCUAGAGUCAGAUGGAGUCGGGUAGAGUCAGUUGGAGCCAGGUGUGUUAGAUGGAGUCGGGUAGAGUUAGAUGGAGUCAGCUAGAGUCAGAUGGAGUCGGGUAGAGUCAGUUGGAGCCAGGUGUGUUAGAUGGAGUCGGGUAGAGUUAGAUGGAGUCAGCUAGAGUCAGAUGGAGUCAGGUAGAGUCAGAUGGAGUCAGGUGUGUUAGAUGGAGUCGGGUAGAGUUAGAUGGAGUCAGCUAGAGUCAGAUGGAGUCGGGUAGAGUCAGUUGGAGCCAGGUGGAAUCAGGUAGAGUCAGACGGAGUCAGGUAGAGUCAGUUGGAGCCAGUUGGUGUCACGUAGAGUCAGAUGGAGUUGGGUAGAGUAAGAUGGAGUCGGGUAGAGUUAGAUGGAGUCAGGUAGAGUCGGAUAAAGUCGAUUGGAGCCAGGUGGAGUCAGGUAGAGUCAGAUGGAGUCGGGUAGAGUUAGAUGGAGUCGGGUAGAGUCAGAUGGAGUCAGGUAGAGUAAGUUGGAGCCAGGUGGUGUCAGGUAGAGUCAGAUGGAGUUGGGUAGAGUUAGAUGGAGUUGGGUAGAGUCAGAUAAAGUCAGAUGGAAUCAGAUGGAGUCAGGUAGAGUCAGAUGGAGUUGGGUAGAGUUAGAUGGAGUCAGGUAGUGUUGGAUGGAGUCAAGUAGAGUCAGUUGGAGCCAGGUGGAGUCAGGUAGAGUCAGAUGGAGUCGGGUAGAGUUAGAUGG